CAGCACUACAUCGAAACGCUACAGCGUCGGAUCGAGGAGGAGCAGAAGAGUAAGAGAAAAAGGCCACGAGUACACAAAACAUUAAAUAUUCUUUAGCAGACCAGGCCAGUGGAGACCAGAGUCCACUUCCACCCUGUACUCCAACUCCGACCUGCCCUGAGUAAGUAGAUGAUCUCCUUCCCUCUCCAAGAUCACAUGCAAGGGCAAAGUUCGACAUCACAGCCCCCAGAUACAAUGGCAAGCGACACAACUGUGACAGUGAUACAGUCAUACCUCAGAAGUCAAACGCCUUACGACUCAAACGUUUUGGGUCCCGAAUGCUGCAAACCCGGAAGUGACUGUUCCGUUUUGCGAACUGUCUUGGGAACCUGAAAGUCCGAUGUGGCUUCCUGCAAUUGAAGCUGCGCCUUGGUUUCCAAACGUUUUGGAAGUCGAAUGGACUUCCGGAACGGAUUCCAUUCGACUUUCAAGGUACGACUGUAUAUUAAUGAGGAGAAGAAACUUCCAACAAAGGAUGGCAAAAUACCAUUGCAAUUGCAAAGUGUAAGUUUCAGCAAGGUUUACAAGGAACCAAUAUAGGCCCAUUUAUUAUUGUAUUGUUGUUGUUGUUAUUAAGUUUUUCAUCUAAGCAGAUGAAAAACAGACAGGCUUCCAGGUAAGAUUCUGUUUCCUUUUUUUUUAAAAUUAUAUUUUUAUUGGUUUACAAAUACAAAAAAAAGAAAA